rnacentral:SRP_RNA from 1 species
UGAGAGGUUGGUCGGGCAAGCGCCUCGCCAACCCGGUCAGGUCCGGAAGGAAGCAGCCGUAACGAGCACCGUUUGGGUCGCACUUAACCUCUCACCU